UAAAUAGUUGGAGAAGAGGAGAUUUUUGCUCUGCUCUGGGGUGUCUUGAGAGUGGGAGAGUUUGAGUAGCUUUGAGGAGGUAGGGAGGCUGCUUGUCCCUUUUCUGUAGUGAGUGUCAUGACCAAGCCUACCUAGGAUGCCCAAGGGAUUGAGGGAGCAGUGUGGAGGAAGAUCACCCUCUAUGUCCCAGCCUGCAGCUUUCUGCCUUGUCUAGCAGUUGACUUUAGAACUGGUGCAGACUAAAGGAACCAGACUGUUGAAUUAAAACAAAGCUUAGCAAAGGCCCAUAGCAAAUAUUGACACAAUGUUAUUUCUAUCUGGGGCUUUGAACCUGCAAGUGAAGCAAUUUAAUGAUGUGCAGGAAAAUGGUGGGAGUAACUAUAACUUUCUUAAGGUAGCCAAAUAUCUCCUCACCUCAUUAGUGAUGUGCAUGAAUGGAUGAAUAAGAUUGCCACUGUCCCAACUACUAUCUAGCGAAACCACAACUAAGGGAAUCGGCUUAG
rnacentral:ncRNA from 1 species